rnacentral:lncRNA from 1 species
AGUCACCGCGGGAUGCCGGGCCCAGGACGGAGAAGGGGGAGCUGGGCCCGGGCAACAGUGGCCCCUGCGCGGCCCUCGCGACCUCCAGGAGGCAGGGAUGGGCCCAUGGCUGGGGCCGCUCCCCUGGACAGUCCCUGCUGGAGACCAUCCAGUGUGGCUGGGAUCUGGCCUGUGAUGCACCUGCUGCCACCAUCCUGGGAGGGGACCGGCAGGAGCCCUGUGCCCUGACCCCAGGGCCCAGCCCCCUGGCCCUCACGUUCCUGCCCAGCAAGCCGGGUGCCCGGCCCCAGCCCGAGGGAGCCAGCUGGGAUGCAGGACCUGGUGGGGCCCCCUCGGCCUGGGCAGACCCAGCAGAGGGGAGCCCCGGCCCCGCACUCCUCCCUGAGGACCCACACCCCCAGGCUCUGCCCACCGCCCUGGAGCCCCCAGCCCGAGGGAGCCAGCUGGGAUGCAGGACCUGGUGGGGCCCCCUCGGCCUGGGCAGACCCAGCAGAGGGGAGCCCCGGCCCCGCACUCCUCCCUGAGGACCCACACCCCCAGGCUCUGCCCACCGCCCUGGAGCCCCGGAUUGUGAUGGGCGAGGAGACAUGCCAGGUGCUGCCAUCCCCCAGGGCAGCCCUGCCUGUGCUCAGGGAACAGGAGCCCCGCUCUCAGGAUGACCCUCCUGUGCCUUCCCCAUCCCCAGAAACUGACCCCUACUUCACCCCUCCCUCUACCCCCACCAAGGCCACCUACGGCCUGCUUCUUGGCCAUGGGCUGCACAGGAAUGCAUGGCACCCUGAGGCUGAGCCGCUGGAGGAGCUACUGGACUCGCUGCCUUCCUCGCCCUCAGGCUCCUACGUUACAGCCGAUGGGGACAGCCAGGCCUCAUCACCCUCCUGUUCCCUCAGCCUGCUGGCCCCUGCCGAAAGGCUGGACUUCGCCUCAGCCUGGGGCCUCUCCCAGCCAGAGUCAGAGGCUGAGGGAUGGGAGCAGCACCCUGCCAAGCCUCUGUCCUCCGAGUCCAGCCUGUCAGGGGACAGCGGGUCUUCCUGGAGCCAGGAGGGCCACUUCUUUGACUUGGACUUCCUGGCCAAUGACCCAAUGAUCCCUGCAUCCCUCCUGCCCUUUCAGGGGAGCCUCAUCUUCCAAGUGGAGUCAAUGGAGGUGAUGCCGCUGUUCCCUGAGGAGGAGGAGGAAGAGGAGGUGUCACCUGACCCCCUGGGCCCAGAUGGGGAAGCAGCCGGAGAGGACGAGGAGGACAGCACUUCGGCCUCCUUCCUGCAGUCACUGUCCGACCUGUCUAUCACCGAGGGAGCUGACGACGACCAGCUGUACAGUGGGGAGCCCCAUGCCCAGCCCAGCACGCUGCUGCAGGAUGCUGGCCAGAAGGCGGAGCAGGAGUGUGCAGGGCGUGCUGCAUUCUGGAAUGCAGAAGCCAGGGGGACAUCACCCACCCCUCAGGUCCUAGAAGAAGCCCCUCUCAGCCAGAGCCCGGAAUCAGUCACAGGAAUCUCGGAAGAGAGCCUUGCUUCCAACCAGGAGUCUGCGGCUGCUGUGACCCCUCACACUGGGCAGGCAGUCACUGGGGUGACCCCUCAGGUGGGAGCCAAAGAAGCUGACUCUGUGGCUGGAGGAACACCUGUCACCCGGGCGUCAGCUCAGCCCUCCCAGGACAGGAGGGGCACUGCCUUCAGCUGGCCGCCUGAUGCUGCAGAGGCAAAGCCAGCUCUGCAGGAAGCAGCAGGCGCCACUGUGUCCCCAGACCCUCCUGAGCUCACGGAGGCCCAGGGGCACAGAGGCGGCCUAGGUACCCCCACAGCCCUGGAGUCUGUGGUUGUGGCCAUGCUGGAGCCCCUGCAGGCUGGAGGUGGCAUCCCAUUACCCCAGAACUCUCCUGUGACAGACCUUCCUCCCCUGAUGAAUGAAGAUCCCAUCUCAGGCCUGGAGUCCGUGGCUGUGGCCAUGGUGAGGCCUCUGCAGGUUGAAGGGGCCGUCCCAUUGCCCCAGGACUUUCCUGAGCCUGCACUUCCACCCCUGCUGGAUAAAAAUCCCACCUCAGGCCCAGAGUGUGCGGCUGUAGCCAUGCUAGAGUCUCAGGAGGCUGAAGGGGGCGUCCUGUUACCCCAGGACGUUCCCAAGCCUGCACUUCCACCCCUGCUGGAUAAAGAUCCCAUCAUAGGCCUAGAGUCUGUGGCUGCAGCCAUUUUGGAGUCUCAGGAGGCUGAAGGGGGUGUCCUGUUACCCCAGGACGUUCCCAAGCCUGCACUUCCACCCCUGCUGGAUAAAGAUCCCAUCUUAGGCCUAGAGUCUGUGGCUGCAGCCAUUUUGGAGUCUCAGGAGGCUGAAGGGGGUGUCCUGUUACCCCAGGACGUUCCCAAGCCUGCACUUCCACCCCUGCUGGAUAAAGAUCCCAUCAUAGGCCUAGAGUCUGUGGCUGCAGCCAUUUUGGAGUCUCAGGAGGCUGAAGGGGGUGUCUUGUUACCCCAGGGCUCUUCUCAGUCUGCACUUCCACGCCUGUUGGAUAAAAAUCCCACCUCAGGCCCAGAGUGUGCAGCUGUAGCCAUGCUAGAGUCUCAGGAGGCUGAAGGGGCCGUCCUGUUACCCCAGGACUCUCCUGAGACAGAGCUCCCGCCCCUGUUGGAUAAAGAUCCCACCUCGGGACAGGAGUCCAUGGCUGUGGCCAUGGUGAGGCCCCUGCAGGUUGAAGGUGGUGUACCCUUACCCCAGGACGCUCCUGAGCCUGCACUUCCACUCCUGCUGGAUAAAGAUCCCACCGUGGGACAGGAGUGUGUGGCUGCAGCCAUGCUGGAAUCCCAGAAGGUGGAAAGUGGUAUCUCAUUACUCCAGGACACUCCCAAGCCUUCACCUCCAUCUCUGCAAGAUGAAGGUCCCACCUCAGGCCCAGAGUCCAUGGCGACAGCCACACCAGGGCCCCUGCAGGCUGGAGGUGGCACCCUGUUAUCCCAGGAUGUUCCCAAGCCUUCUCCAUCUCUGCAAGACGAAGGUCCCACCUCAGGCCCAGAAGCCGUGGCUGAGACUGCGCCAGGGUCCCACGAGGAUGAAGGGGGCGUCUGCUUACCCCAGGACUGCACUGCGGCUGCGCUUCCACCCCUGGAAGACGAAAAUCCCACCUUGGGCCCAGAGGUCAUGGCUGUAGCCAGGUCAGGCCCCCUGCAGGCUAAACAGGGCAUCUCGUUCCACCAGGACCCUCCUGAAUCUUCUCCUCCGGCUCUGCAAGACGAACAUUCCACCGCAGGCCUGGAGACAGUGGCUGUGGCCACACCAGGGGCCCAGAAGGCUGAAGUAGGCUACACCCAAGGGACCAAGGCCCUGGCCUCUGUGGCCCAACAGAAAAUAGGCUCCUGGACCCCAACCCCUCUGCUCCUGGUGCCCCUUGCCGACACCAGGACCCCCAGGAAGACUUCAUGGAGGGUGAGGAGCCCCCAGCCUCUCGGGGUCCUCCACUGCUUCGACUGGGAACCCAGCGGGCCGCCGCUGCCUCAGGAACCACACAGCCUCGGGGAGCCAAGCAUCAUGUCAGCCUGGCACCCCAACCCCCCCUCAGCCCCAAGGCGGCUUCCGCAGAUAGCAAAGAGCCAGCCUCGAGGAUCUCAACCCCCUGCCAAGUGCCUCCUCCCUUGGGGCCCCGGGGCCCACGUGGUCCUCAAGGGCUCCCAGCCCCAGAGCAACAAAAGGACGAGGACAGCCUGGAGGAAGAUUUCCCAAGGGCCCCAGGCUCUGGCCAGCACUCGGACAGCCACGGGGAGUCAUCAGCCGAGCCUGACGAGCAGGACCUCUCGGCCCCUCACGCAAAGUGCCCAGCCCAGCCCCCAACGGGCAGCAGUGAGGAGACCAUCGCCAAAGCCAAGCAGAGCCGCAGUGAGAAGAAGGCUCGGAAGGCCAUGUCGAAGCUGGGCCUGCGGCAGAUUCAAGGCGUGA